UGGCGGGGCGAGCGCCAACUUCCUCCCCGACGGGGACCGCGCGGUGGCGGGGCCCUGGGUGGCGCGGGCGGUGCGUGGACAAUGCGAGAGUCAGGAAGUGCUCACCCCGCCCCUCCGCCCCGCGGUGGGUGCCCCUUCCCGGUCCCCACGCCUGGCCGCGGGGGUGGCUGUGCGGCCCCUGGGUCCGUGCCGGACACCGGCCGCGCGCCCCGGGCAGCCAGCGGCCAGACUUCGAGGACGACUGGGGUGCCUGGCUGAGACAGCGCUACCCUCCGGCCCGGGCCACGAUGCCCGCGCUGGAAAAGCUCGGUGUGUGCCCCAGGCCAGGCCGAAGGAAAGACGGAAGGAAAGAGCUGCCCAACUUGAGAAAAAUGAUCCGAUUGAAAACUUAGGCACCAGUUCCUUCGGCCCUGUGCUCCCCACCCACCCGCUUUAGCCCCGAGCAGAGGAAAGAGCCUUAAUUCCCAGCAGAUCCAGGCUUGCUAGGCUGACUGCCACAGGUGAAGAGGCCCUGAGACGUUUUUACUGCAGGGCGUGAGUGUGUGUGUGUGGGGGGUGCUCUUCAAUUCUCUUGCUUGCUUGAGGAAGGAAGAGAAUCUCAACUUAACUUCCGUUCCCAGCCGGGAGUUGAAAAAAAUUCAUCCUCUAAAUAAUUGUUUCACGUUUUAAGAAGGAAGCCUAAUAAUCUUAGGUAGUGCCUGAAGUCUUCUUUUGAGGGGCAUUUAGGAAAUAGCUAAGAUGUGAUGGGACUCAGUUCUUACUACUCAGACAAGAUUUUAGUUCUAGUGUGCUGGCCAAACACUUUUUACUUAUUUGGACAGUUCUUUGAAUUCCUUUGGUCAGAUAGGCUUUCGGGAGGGAACUGUAGGUAUAUUUUAAUGAAGGGAGGUUAGGGUCCUUAUGUCUCGCUUUGAACUUGUAGUUUUCAAUUUAGGAAGCUGUUCUUUAUGUAGAUCAGUCACUUUUUUAAACAGGGUACCUGUUCUUAGAAGAAUCCCACAGUGCUGUGAAUACAGGAGACUGAAGUGUAGCUUGUUAGCAACAAGCGUAAACUCCAUUGGCUGUAUGUCUGCUGUAUUGAAAUGGCACUAGGAGGUUCACAGACUUACUCGUUUGUGAAUUGUUUGAUCAUACAACUUUUGGCCAGACUAUGCUCUCCAUUUUUUUGUCUUUUUGUAGCUCUAAACUUCGUUUUGGUAUUGAUCUGGCAGAGGGGAAGCUGCCCAGACUCUAGGUAAGACAAAUUGCUGGCUCAGCCAUUUAAGCUUUGCCAUCUGAAGCUCAGCUUCCUUAUCUGUAAAAUGGAAACAAAACAAAACCUGUGAAAGCCAGAACCUAUGUGAUGUGGAAACUUGUCAGAAAAGGAAAACUCAAAUAUUUUCCACUAAAAGAGAGUGAUAGAAAAGUGGUAAAAUUGCACCCUGCACCCUGGCAAAGGCAGAAAGUUUGUGAGACCUGGUAAAACAAGGCAGUCCUGCCGAGAUCCACCUUUUACAAGUUUCACUCUAAUCCGGGUCCCCCGAUGCCCUUUCCCUAUGUCCUCACCAGUCCCCUGUUUUAGUUAUGUACGUAACAAGCUUAGGAAAGUUCCUCACUGUAGUAAGUGAUCAGUAAAUGAUAGCCGUGGAAACCCUGAUGGCUUAGUGGUUAAGAGCUUUGGCUGCUAACCAAAAGGUCAGCAGUUCGAAUCCACCAGGCACUCUUUGGAAACUCUAUGGGGCAGUUCUACUCCGUCCUGUAGGGUCGCUCUGAGUUGGAAUCGACUCCACAGCAACAAGUUUGAUUUGGUUUUGGUAUCAUUCAUUUGGAAACCCUGGUGGCAUAGUGGCUAAGGGCUAUAGCUGCUAACCAAAAGGUUGACAGGUCAAAUCCACCAAGCACUCCUUGGAAACCCUCUGGGGCAGCUCUCCUCUGUCCUACGGGGUCGCUGUGAGUUGGAAUCUACUCGACGGCAGUGGGUAUCAUUCAUUUAUUCAUUCAGAAACUAUUAAGCACCUACAGUUUUUUUUUUAGUGUUAUAGGUGCUGUGCUAAAGGGACGGUGGUAGUUUGGAUAGAGACCAUCCUGCUUCUCAUGGAGUUUGUGUUCCCAUUCUGGUGGUGGAUCUGGUUUACCCUGCUAUCUUCUGCCUGAUUACGUGGAAGCUUUCCUUUUUUUUGUUGCUCCAAAAGAUUAGAUAACUUUAAGGCAGUGCGAGAAAUUUUUUUCUUAGACUCGUGGUAUCCCCAGUUUCAUAAACGUUGAACUGGUGAUGUUGUAUCCCAUUGUAUUGGUUCCGAUUCACAGCUACCCUGUAGGACUGAGUAGAACCACCCCAUAAGGUUUUCUAGGCUGUAAUCUUUGUGGGAACAGAUUGCCAGGUCUUUCUCCUGAGGACCUAGUGGCUGGGAAGUGGUCAUGGGGCCUGUAAUUACUUUCUUCAGAAGUGGCAGACUCAGGGAUAAUUUAACGGUGAGCCCUGGUGGUGUAGUGCUUAAGAGCCACGGCUGCUAACCAAAAGGUCGGCAGUUCCAAUCUACCAGGUGCUCCUUGGAAAUCCUAUGGGACAGUUCUAUUCUGUCCUGUAGGGUCGCUAUGAGUUGGAAUCGACUCGACGGCAACGGGUUUGGUUUUGGUUUGGUUGGCAAAAUUGAUUAAUCAGGAAAUUACAAAUGCUUUUUGUGUGUGUGUGUGUGUGCUGUUUGCGGCUGUGCUUUACAAAGUAGUGGCAUGAGAAGUGGCAUUCGUGAAUUUUUAAAGGAAGAGUGGAAACUUGUCAGACUCAACUGAAACAACCCAAUUAUUUUUAAAUUUUAAAAUGGCAUUAAUUGGACUAUUUUAGUAUUUUAAAAUGUAUGUCAAUUUUUUAGUUAACUGACAUUAGAGUUUUAAAAAAUAAUCAUGAUAUGUAAAAUACGUGUGAAAGACUGUGACAUUAGAUUUUGUGAUUACGAAUAUUAAGAAUUAAAACAAUUAUUCGAAGGAAAUAGUAAAUCUACAAUUAUGUUAAAGCUUCAAAUGGUUUGUUCUUGUUGUUGAAGUCAGUUUUUACCUCCAUUUGCAAGCAUACAAGCUUAAUGUGUUAACUUAAAAUUAAUAGUUUUUUUUUGCAGUUGUUUAGAGUUUAAAGAAUGGUUUUAUGUUUUGUAGCUCUUGGGCAGCGUGGCCACUGGGGAAGGGUAAUAUUACUCUUAGUGGUUCAGUGUUUGUCAGGAGGUAUAAAUAACCACUUAUUCUAUAAAAGAAGAUUGCUGGCUAUGGCAAGCUUGGGGAAGCUGUGGUGUGGUUGUAGAUGAAGAAGUUGUACAUCUUGGGUAAGCUGAAUUUUAAUUAUAAGAGUGUUGUACCCCUGAUAAGAAAUUUAUUGGUCAUACAUUUUUAAGUACUAUGUUAUGUAGCUUCUUAUAGGGAUUGGAGUUGUCAUAAAAGAUGAGGAAGAAUGAGGAAGCACUACUCCAUGGUAAACAUCUGCCUGCACAUAUUGUAGUAUUUUGUUUGUAGGUGGACAAGAUUUGCCAACCAUUAUUUUUAGGAUCUAGUAAUCAUGCAGAAGUUUAUAACUAUGUAGUUUCACUAUGAAAUUCUGGUUCCAUUAAGCCUCUGCUUUUUUGCUUCAGGCAUAAGAAUAUCUGAAGCCUUAAUUGUGGUAUGUAGUUUCUGAUAGGCCUGGAUUCCAAGUAUUUUUGUAAAUUCCUGUUUUAGGAAUGACCAUUGUUCACCACUCCACUUAUUCCUGACUGCAGGGAACCUGGGCUGCCUGUAGUUGUUGUGUGCCAUUGAGUCGAUUCUGACUCAUAGUGACCCUAUAGGACAGGGUAGAGCUGCCUCAUAGGGUUUCCAAGGAGCAGCUGGUGGAUUCGAACUGCUGACCUUUUGGUUAGCAGCCUGAGCUCUUAACCACUAUGCCACCAGGGCGCCCUGGGUUGGGUUGCCUAGUUGGCCUUAAUUCAUUCAACACUUCUUUGUAGCAGAUAGAGUUAGUUUAUGUAGUGAUUGUCUUUAGAGUCUGUAGUCAAAUCCUGGCUCUCUAAUUACUUGCCAUAGGACCUUGGGCAAGCCAUUUCACUUCUGAGCUUCAGUGUCUGCAUGUGUAAAAUGGAAUUAUAUUCUAUGUAUCUGUCGAUCUAUCAUCUAUCUGUUUUCAUUUAUGUAUCUAGUAAAAUGUGCGGUAAGUGUUUUUGGUAUCAUUACUAGUGAGGGAGCAAUGGAAGCAGGGUUGGGCAGAGGGAGUAGUUGAACUAUGAUGCAGUUAGAACAGAGACCUUAGCCGAUUCUCCCAGUAGGGAGCUCUGGGGCUGGGAUGGCACUUCUGAGUUAUCUUACCUUGAGGCAAGAGGGCAGGGCCUUUAUUCCCUGCACCCCCUCCACUGACUAAUCAUUUGGGCAUGGCCUACCCCUAGGAAGAGGGUAUGAUCAGCAGUAGGCGGGAAGGGGGGCGUGGGGGGGUGUUCUCUUCAGCUGGAGAGCUGUUCUGGAGAUGGACUCAGCCGAGAGCCUUUGGCGCUCAAGUAGUGAGGGAGGGAUCUGGGCGGCACACCACAGUAUCCACUACAGUGUUGUUAGUAUCAGAGUCCUUUGGGUGCAGAUCCUUGGUUAUGUUUCUUAUUCCCCUACUGUUACUGAUUUCUUCACUUAGACCACCAGUACCAUUCACAUAAAGCACAAGUGUGGGAUAAAUAUUUCUCACUAAUGACUAAAUUCUACAGCACUUAACAACAAUGACUAAAUAGACUUUGUGAACAAUGCUGGGAGUUAACCACCAUAACGUAUAGCAUUGUUUGGAUGGGGAAAUGUGUUCUUAAUUCCAUACAUCUGUUUUGUAAUAGAUUUUUGGAACAGCUCCUGUUCUUAUGAACAAGAUGUGUAUUUUGCUGCAUACGUAGUCCGCCAUACAUACUUCUUUUAUAACCUCAGGUUUGUAGUAUGUUUUGAAUAGUUUCACUUUUUAGAUGUUUAAUUUCUACUACAUUUAAAUUGCCUGUUCCAUCAGAAGGAAAAUGGAGAGUGGUUGCUGUUUAUAUUCUAAUUAUGGUAAAUUUAUUGAGAGUCUAAAGUAAGUAGAGCACCAUUGUGACUUCGGAAGACAUUUCUUUGCCUUAUCUAGAAGUCAGUUGUGUCAAGUUUUUAAAAAUAUUUGCUACUUUUGAAUGUUGUCUUUUGAAAUCCUUCUUUGUAAGGGGGGUUAGAAGAAAACAUUACCUCACCCAUCACAUUCUUCCUCUGCACUUCGUAUAUAAGAGUGAAGACCUGUGCUCUGCUAAUGGUGUUUUGUGCACAGUCCUAUUCUUUCUCUAUUUCCUUACUUGUUAGAGGGCCUGUGCUUAAGUUCUAGAAACUAAACCUUCAGUGUCAGCUUUCCUACAAAUGCAAGAAGAUGUAUCCUUCUACAGAGAACUGAAAACAGGAGAUGAAAUUGGGAAACCUCUUGCAGCUUGAUUUUCCUCUCAGUUUACUCUAGGCUCCUGGAUGUGAGCAGUUUAAACAAGUUUAAGGUAUCAGAGUGUGUUCUUUGUCUUCUCGAGCCACCCCUUGAAAUCUUUUGUUCAGCUCUUUUACUUCAUCGGAAGAAUGAAGAUUGAACAGAAGAUUUCAAAGGGCUGCUUGAGAAGACAAAGUAAAGUGUAUGAUGACAUGUGCAAAGAGCUGGAGAUAGAAAACCAAAAGAGAAGAACACACUCAGCAUUUCUCAAACUGAAAGAACUGAAGAAAAAAUUCAAGCCUAGAGUUGCAAUAAUGAAGGAUCCUAUGGGGAAAAUAUUAAAUGACACAGGAAGCAUCAAAAGAAGAUGGAAGGAAUACACAGAGUCACUAUACCAAAAAGAAUUGGUCGAUGUUCAACCAUUUCAAGAGGUAGCAUAUGAUCAGGAACCGAUGGUACUGAAAGAAGAAGUCUAAGUUGCUCUGAAGGCUUUGGUGAAGAACAAGUCUUCAGGGGUUGAUGGAAUACCCGUUGAGAUAUUUCAGCAAACGGAUGCGUUGCUGGAAGUGCUUACUUGUCUAUGCCAAGAAAUUUGGAUGACAGCUACCUGGCCAACCGACUGGAAGAGAUCCAUAUUUAUGUAUAUUUCCAAGAAAGGUGAUCCAACCAAAUGUGUAAAUGGUUGAAUAAUAUCAUUAAUAUCACACACAAGUAAAAUAUUGCUGAAGAUAAUUCAAAAGCAGCUGCAUCAGUAUAUCGACAGGGAACUGCCAGAAAUUCAAGCCAGAUUGAGAUGAGGAUGUGGAACCAGGGGUAUUAUUGCUGAUGUCAGAUGUAUUCUGGCUAAAAGCAGAGAAUACCAGAAAGGUGUUUACCUGUGUUUUAUUGACUGUGCAAAGGCAUUCAACUGUGGAUCAUAACAGAUUAUGGAUAACAUUGACAAGAAUGGGAAUUCCAGAGCACUUAAUUGUGCUUAUGAGAUACCUGUACAUGGAUCAAGAGGCAGACGUUCGAAUAGAACAAGGGGAUACUGCAUGGUUUAAAGUCAGAAAAAGUGUGAGUUAGGGUUGUAUGUGUUCACCAUGCCUAUUCAAUCUGUAUGCUGAGCAAAUAAUUUGAGAAGCUGGACUCUGUGAAGAAGAACGGGGCAUCAAGAUUAGAGGAAGACUCAUUAACAACCUGCAUUAUGCAGAUGACACAAGCUUUCUGACUGAAAGGGAAGAGGACUUGAAGCACUUACUGAUGAAGAUAAAAGACCACGGCCUUCAGUAUGGAUUACACCUCAACAUAAAACAAAAAUCCUCACAACUGGACCAAGAAGCAACAUCAUGAUAAACAUAGAAAAGAUUGAAGUUGUCAAGGAUUUUAUUUUACUUGGAUCCACAAUCAACACCCAUGGAAGCAGCAAUCAAGAAAUCAAAAGACGCAUUGCAUUGAGCAAAUCUGCUGCAAAAAACCUCUUUAAAGUGUUGAAAAGUGGUGGUGUCAUCUUGAAGACUAAGGUGUACCUAACCCAAGUUGUGUUUUCAGUCACCUCAUAUGCAUGCAAAAGCUUGACGAUGAAUGAGGAAGACUGCAGAAGAAUUGACACCUUUAAAUUGUGGUGUUGAUGAAGAAUAUUGAAUAUACCAGGGACUGCUGAAAGAGCUAACACACCUGCCUUGAAAGAAAUACAGCCAGAAUGUUCCUUGGAAGCAAGGAUGGCAAGACUACAUCUUACAUAUUUUGGACAUGUUAUCAGAAGGGAUCAGUCCCUGGAGAAGAACAUCAUACUUGGUAAAGUAGAGGGUAAGCGAAAAAGAGGAAGACCCUUAUAAGAUGGAUUGACACAGUGGCUGCAACAAUGGGCUCAAACAUAACAACGAUUGUGAGGAUGGCACAGGACCGGGCAGUGUUUCUUUCUGUUGUACAUACAAACUUAACAACAGGGUAUCAGAAAGGAGACUUUAGAGGGAAAAAAAUUUGUGCUUAAUGGUUUUUAUUACCAACUUUUUGGCAUUUUUCAGGGAUUUAGUUAAUUUAAAAUGUUUUGCUAUUAUUUUGCCAGUAAUAAAAUGGUUGUUGUAGAAAAUCUAAAAAAAAAAAAAAAGAUAAGCAAAGUUCUCUGAUUUUGUACUCGGGCCCUUAUAAUCCCACCACUUAGAGAUCCACCAUGGUUAACAUUUUUGAUGUAUAUUCUCGCAGCUUUUUAAACAUUUUUCUUAUAGACUUUUUAAAGUAUAUAGUACAGUUUUUGCAAAAAGAGGAUCAUUUAUAUAUUUUAUAAUCUCUUUUUCCCACUUAUAAUUUUAGCAGUGCAGUAAAUAUUCAGGUGUAUCACCAUUUUUAAGGCUUUUACAAUAAGUCAUCGAAUGUCUGUACCUUGGGUAAUUUGAUCAUUCCUCUAUUGUUUGACCUUUCUAGUCCUUAUACCUUCAUAUCUGGGCAUUCAGCCAGUUACUUUUUUAGAAUACAUUCUUACUUUCGACUUGCUCAGCCAAAGGAUAUGUAUAUUUUUAUGACUUUUAAUACAUACUGACAGAUGGCCCCAUAGAAAGGUCGUACCAUUUUGACACCACUGUGGUCAGAGUGCCCUUUUUCCAUAGCGUCACCAGUCCCUGGUUCUUAUUGUUUUAAAGACAUGCUGGAGAAUUGGUGAGACCCUGAAAUGUCUCAGCAACAGAAGUGUCCUGUUUGCAUCAAGAACCUGGAGUAGGUACUGCCACACUUAGGAAGAUUUUCUAAGGCUGGAUUUAUUCCUACUGGGAAUUCUGUGGUCUUCAGUGGUUUGGUGGCUAAAAAGAAUUGAAUAAAAUGUCUAAUAAUGGUGAAUGAUAGAGUUAGUGAAGAUGACAACACAGGCCUUUGAAAUUCUGUCUGUAACUGGACAGUGUUUGACACCGUUAUUCUAAUCUUAUGAACAAGGCCUAGAGUUUUGAGGUUUCAGUCAAGAAGCAUGGGGUUUGAACAUACCUGGGUUUUAGUCUAGGCACCACAACUUACUAGCCUAGUGACUUCGGAGCCAGUUAUUUAAUCUUUCUCAGUCUCCAUUUUCUAAAUGCAACUCUGCAGUGUUAUAUGAAGAUUAAGAAAAAUAACAUAUGUGAAAGAUCUUGGCACAGGGCCUGGCAGAUAUGAGCAUUAUCAGCGAUAGCUUUCUAAGUUUUGUGGUUUGUUCAGUCUUAUCCAGUUAAAAACUUGCUAAGCCAUUAUGCUAUUGAGAAAGGGUACUGGGAGAUAAUAAGAUAGUGGUAAAGGGCCUGUGAUUAUUAAUGUAGAAAAAGACAGUGGUAUCAUACAUGCUUUUAGGUAAGCACUGAUUUGACUAUAAAUGAUCUUCUGUUCUUCUCCCAUCAUUUCUCUCUCUGAUCAUAGUUUACCUGGAAAAAAAAAUCAGAUGGUUUAGCAAGAAAAAGAAAAAAGUGUGAAAAUGGUCCUCCUUCCCACUUACUCCCUUCCUUCCCUCCCUUUACCUACCCUUUCAUCCAUCCAUCCAACCAUCCACCGAUCCACCCAUCCACACCCAUCUACCCAUCCACCCACCCAUCCAUCCAUCCAUCCAUCUCCUAUGUAUUAUCUGCUAUUUGUCAGACAUUGUGCUAGUUUCUAGGAUUACAGAGACAAAAGACCUGGGCUCUAGGGGCUAAUGAUCAAGUUGGGAACCUUUAUGGAAAUACAUACAAAUAGGUUAUUAUGUGUACUAUGCAAGCACAGCUAUGAAAUAAAAACCAGGGGGUCUCAUAAGGGGUUAAAGUAUGGGAUUGGAUUUGAAGAUAUGGAAAAGUGAAAUGAGCAUGUGAAGCUGGUGAGUGGCUGAGAGGACAUGAGGAGCCCAGCAUGUUCUUUGGGGAUCAGCCAGGGCUUAAUACUACUGAGAAUUAAACAGAAGACCCUCCCCUGUCUUCAGGCAACAACUAGAGAGCUCACUGUUAGGUCAUUUGUUCAUUGCUUUGUUCAUCUGUGUACUCAUCCAUUGGUUAAACAUUUAUUAUGUGCCUACUGUCUUCUAGGACUGGAAGUAUAGUGUUGAAUUAUACUCGGGGGCAUCAGAAUUCAUACCCUUAAGGUCUCAUAGUGAAGCUUGGAGAGAGGCAUGUAAAACUGGGAGCCAUGAUAAUGUAUUGUAGCUGCUCAAUGGAAAAAAUGGUUUCUUGGAGGAGACGUUUGAGCUGAGUCUUACAGGAAGAGAAGCAGUUGGUUCUGAAAGCAAAGGAUGUCCCAAGCAGAGGGAGAUGAGAAAGGGCCCUGAGUUCUGGUUGCUGAAGGAGUUCGAUGUGGCUGGGUGAGAGUGCAGUGACAGGAGGCGAGGGUGGUAAGGGAGUGGGGCCAGACAGCCAAGUCUCAGUGCUUUGUAGCCAGUGGAGAACCAUUAUUAGGGACAUGGUCAACUUUAUUUGCAAAAGGGGGUAAUCAUAGGUUGUUGAUAAUCUUGUAAAGUUAUUAAAUAUUUUAACAGAAUGGGUAUCUUUUGACGUUUUUUCUUUUGAUACAGUUAAGUCAGGGAUCGGGAGUCCCUGGGUGGUGCAUGGUUAAGUGCUUGACUACUAGCUGAAAGGUUGGUGGUUUGAACCCACCCAGAGGUGCCUCAGAUGAUCUGCUCCUGAAAGGUCAAACCAAAAAAAACCAAACCUGUUGCUGUUGAGUGGAUUCCGACUCAUAGUCCCAGCCGUUGAAAACCCUAUGGAGCAGCUCUGCUCUGCACACAUGGGGUUGCCAUGAGUCAGAAUCGACUCGAUGGCAACUGGCAACAAGAAGUCAGGGAUCAGAGGUUGAACCUGCUGCUGGCCCUUGAUUGUGAGUUUCCAGUUAAAGCCGUGGGUGCACUGCAGGAUGCUAAUGUCACAGCACCCACCCGAGGAUGCCUGUGGAAGGCCUGUCUUAAUUGUGGGUCCCAGUAUCCCCAUGCUUUCCCAGCCCUGGUAGCUUAGCUAAUUGAGGUUAGCUUCUGAGAACUAAAUGCCAAGGGAAGGGGUUGAGGCCAUCUGAGCAGAAAGGGUUUUUUUCUGGAGUCAGGGGGUGCUAACCCUAUGCUUUAUUUUUCAUGCCUGGGUAGAAAGUGUAUAGACUGCCAGGUUGGACUAAUCAUCUUGGUUUGCCAUUUUAUUUUUAUCAUUGUUUAAUCAGUUUUAAAACAAUAAACUCUGGUGAGGAGGGAUGUCAUUGUUUUAUACAAAAUGUCUGGAUGUGUGUGUAAUUGUGUAUGUUUCAGAAAGCUCCCAAUUCUCAAUGGUUGUUUAAAUAGUAACUGGCUUUGUUUAAUCAACAGGAUGUUUUAACUUGAUUGUACUUGAGAGAGGAGCCCUGGUGGUGCAGUGGUUAAAACACUUGGCCGCUAAUUGAAAGGGUGGCAGUUCAAAACCACCAGUUGCUCCGUGCGAGAAAGGUGAGGCAGUCAGUUCUGCCCCAUCCCACAGGGUGGCCAUGAGUCGGAAUCAACUCGACGGCAGUGGGUUUGGUUUUGGUACUUGAGAGGUUUUUUAUAAACUGGAAAAAGUGAAUAGUGUUUCUAAUACUUAAAAAAUCAUGCUUUCUGAUUGAUCAGAAAUAAAAAGGGAAAACAAAUUGUCUCUGGUAAAUUGCAUUCAUGAGGCUAAUAUUUGAAAACAGUUUAAAAGUUAAAAGCAAGAAAGAUAUUAACAAGUUUAAAGAAAAGUGAGGAAAGAGGAAGACUUCAAGAAAAAGUGUUAAAUGUUAAUCAUAUAGUUGCUUAGACUGCAGUUAAUAAGAAAGUUACCAUGGUUCUCAUAUCUACUUAUAAUACAGUGUAUCUUGUAGAUUUAAAUAUACUGCAGCUCAAAUCAUAUCACCCCAAAAAGAGCAAUUACAGAUAUAGCCAGAUAGCAAAAGAUGGCCCAGAUAUCAUAAUUCAGAAUACUGUUUGUAUCAGUUUGUUGGAAAUUUAUUAGAAAUAGACUGCCUUAAGGUAUAUGCCUUUAUAAAACUGAUAAAGAGGGUAGAUUUAGGCGAAUAUUAGCAGGGUAUCACAUUGCUCAUAAAAGUUAGGGAAAUGUUCCCCAAAUUUAAAAUGCAUACUUUUCCCUAGGGGUAAACAUAAGUUUGAUGACUCUUUAGAUCAUGUCCUUUCAAGUUAUAAAACAUCCCAGGAGAGCCUUUCAACACUAAUUCUAAAACAAUCGCAAGCUCUGUUUUAGGUUUCUGAAUGUGCACUCCUGAACAUGACCAUUUCAGUAUAAUAUUUAGUGGAACCAUGUUCUAACACAACUUCUUAUUAAAGAGGCACACUCCUUGCUAUGCCCCAAACAGUCCAGUAUCUGGGCGGAAAUGGAAGCUGGGGGGAAUGUGUAGAGUCAGUUCUCGCUAUUUUUGAUUGGCGGCAGAUGCAGUCUGUAGUAGUCUGGUGGGCAGAGCUUGGGGUGGUUGGUGAUGGGUGUUAAUAAGUAGGCAUGAGAGCCCAGAGCAGUGCCUUCGGAAGCCACGGAGCGAGCCUGGUAUUGACAAACAGCAGAAAUGUGUGUCUCUAACACAGGAGGCAUGCCGCUCAAAGAAUUCUUCCAACUGGUUUCCAGCUCCUCAGAUCUUUUCUUACACUGCAACGUUUACAGGUUGCAGGAACUUUGUUAUUGUUGGUGUUGUGUGCAGUGGAGUUGAUUCUUACUCGUAGCUCAUAGCGACCCUAUAGGACAGAGUAGAACUGCCCUAUAAUGUUUCCUAGGCUAUAAUCUUUGGGGAGCAGGUUGCCAGGUCUUUUUUCCAGCAGGGCAGCUGGUGAGUUCGAACUGCCGAACUCUGGGUUAGCAGCCAAGCGUGUAACCAUUGUGUCACCAGGGCUCCUGCAGUAACUGUAACCCAUUGCUGAGUUGAUUCUGACUGAUAGAGACUUUUUCAGACAGUAGAAUUGCCCUACGGGGUCUCCAAGGCUGUAAUCUUUAUGGAAGCAGACUGACACAUCUUUCUCCCAUGGAGUGGCUGGUGGGUUCGAACUACCAGCCUUUCAGUUAGUAGCCGAGUGCUUAACUACAGUGCCACCAGGGCUCCUUUGCAGUGACUUUAGCCCUGUAAUAAUAUGGUUCCACCAGGCUUAGGAGUGAAGAUGGUGUGUUACAGUACAAAAGGAUAUCAGGUAAAAUCCCUGAAUGGUAGGUGUGCUGGGGCUGCAGAACCUACAGAACCCACAGAAAGGAGAAGUGUGCAUUCCUGGCAAUAGGGGCGAGGAUGAUAGUACAACUAUCCAUUAUUAUUUACUGGGAGCUGGGUAGGACACCAGCAUUCCUUUAGUUAACAUUGGAGGAUGAGGACACCAAGCUUCAGAAACAGCCUCCUUCCCUUUUUUAGAAAAGGCAUGUUUGGGCAUAGGGAAAUGUGCCCAACCCAGAUGCCACAGUUGAAUCCUCGUGACUAACACGUAAGCAUGUGUGCAAAUAAUGAACAACUAUAUGAAGGCUUUUAAGUAGAGGACUUAAAUUCAGUGUUAAAACUGCAAGGAAGCAAUAAAAAAGCCAGUGGCUGUCGGGUUGAUUCUAAUGCAUGACACCCCGUGUGUCAGAAUAGAACUGUGCUCCAUUGGGUUUUCAAGUGGCUGAUUUUUUGGAAGUAGAUUGCUAGGACUUUCUUCCGAUGCAUCUGAGUGGACUUGAACCAUCAACCUUUUGGUUAGUAGCCAGCAUGGAAUAGGGCCUUUUAAAUUAUUUUUUAAAAAAGGCCGCAUGUGUAUCAUUCUGGUACUCGACCUGAAAUUAAAUUUGUAAAACAAGAGAAUAACACUUAACCAAGGAAGCACUUUACUUUCACACGUUGUGUAUUUAUGUUGAUCUGAUUCCUUUCAUUAGGAGAGAAGGAUUUCCUGGUCUUCGCAUUUUGGAGAUUGUGAACACUCAAAAUGAUACUUCCUAUUCUUAAUGGGUUAAAAUAAAUUAAUAAAUAAAUGGGUUAGAGUUCAUAAAUAGGAUAUGACUAUCCUCUGUAGGGUAAAUUCCUAGAAGUGCGAUCACUGGUCACAAGAUAAUGUGGUUUUGAAAGGCUUUGGAUAAAUAUUGCCAAAUGCUCUCUAGAGAGGCGUUCCUUGUUUAUACCACUGACAGUGCCUGGAGUGCUCGUUUCUUCCCAUUCCUCAACAUGGAUUUUGAUAACCAUUUUAAUCUUUGCCAGUCAGAGAGAUGAAAAAUCACAUCUUUUUGUUAUACAGUGAAAAUGGUGAGAGCCAGAGCUCAAUGGGACUGUCUUGUUUGUCCGGGUUUUGCAAGUUUUCGGCUUCUGACAGAGUGCAGUCUUAAGACUUUUCUGAUACUCUCUCCACUCCUACCUGGAAAGUCAGCAGUUUGAAUCCACUAGUCGCUCCUUGGAAACCCUAUGGGGCAAUUCUACUCUGGCUGUGAGUUGGAAUCAACUCGAUGGAACAGGUUUUUUGUUUUGUUUUGUUUUACAUUAUUGGAAAAUAUUUGAGUUUUCCUUCUGUGACAGGUUUCUGCCUUACGUAGGUUCCAGCUUUCGUAGGUUUUACUGUAUUUAUAGGCAGUUCUAAAAAAAAAAAAAAAAAAUUUUUUUUUUCCUCAGGUUACACAUGUCCGACUUAUGUAUAACCCGUAAUUACGAAUCGUCAUAAAGCCUAUUACAUUGUAUACAAUGGUUCGUAAUAACAAACGGGCACUACUUUGUGAUGUGCACCAAAACAUUAUUAUUAUUAUUACUGUAUUAUGUUAAAGAUAUUUUAGGGCAUCUGGAGGUGUUUCUUUAAUGUCUUUUAUGCAUAGAAAGGUAUACUGUAUGCUAUAAUCUAAGACAAACAUUUGACUGACGUUAAAUAUGAACCACACUUAGUUGUUCCAACUUGGGUACAAACUCAACUUAGGGGUAGAUUUAAAAACGGAACUUGUUCUUAAUCCAGUGACUGCUUUUAUUUGCAUUUCUUGUGUCAUCAGUGAGAAAAUAUCUUAUAUGUGUACUGGUCCUUUGUAUUUUUUUUUUCCUAUUUGUGCCAUUUGCCCAUUUUAAUAAUUGGGUAUCCAUGUUCUUGUUACUGAUUGGCACGAAGACUGUACAUUCAGAAAACUUUUUGACAUAUAUUUUCCCUAGUUUAUCACGUGUCUUUCAUCCUUGUUUAAGGUAGUUCUUGUUGGUUAGAAAGGCUACAUUUUUGUAUGAUGACAUAACACCCACAUACAGCUAGAACCUCAAGAGAAAGGUGGGAGAGACUGGGGAGAGUUGUCUAUGAAAUUGCUUGUAGGAAAAGUGGUUUGGGCAUGGGAUAAGGCUGGUGACUUUGAGGUAAUUUGGACACCAGCGUCCACUAAUGCUGUUCACAUUUGUCAGGUUCUCUUUACUUUGGUAUUUAAUUUGGGAGGCUGUUACACAGGUUUGGUUUCAGCUGCUGCUGCCCUCUCUUAUCUCCUUCCUGACCUCUCGCUUCCCUGCCCACUACUCUUCAGUUGAGCCCCAGUGCCCAACACUUGUCACUUCUUGAACAUUUCUAAAACCCCUGCAGUUUUUAUUCCAGCUGUGUAGGACUUUGAAACAUGUAAGAUAAAGGUCCAUUUUUUACUUGUUUAUCUCCUCUUCUCAGGAACCAAGCUGCACACUGAGGCCUCUUAAGGCUAAAUUGCCCAUAGCUUGCUUGUGAUAACAAACUUAAAUGCUGAGUCAUUUAAAAAAAAAAAAAAAAAAGUUUUCAUUUCAGAAAGUUCAUGUUUUUCUCAUUCUGGCACUUGAAAUUAAAUUGUAUGUCAAUAAAAGGAGAACAUAGUACUCAGUUGAACCAAGAAUUUAUUCACACCAUGGAUCAUGCUGAUUCAACCAGCUCUUUGCACCGUCUCCAAUUCAGAAAGAUUCCCAAACUCAUUCUUGUUCUAAAGAGUAUGAGGUUAGAGAGACAAGUCAUAGCGUGAGAAUUGGCUCUGCCAUUUUUUUAGGGCCCUUGAACCUUUCUGAGCCUGAGUUUUCCGAUCUGUAGAAAGUGAGGAUAAAAUGAUACUGUUGGUGACGAAUUCUUUGCAUGCAAACUGUAGAGCUGUUUGAGAAGCAAGUAGCUGUGUCAUGAUUCGGAGUUUUUAGUGUUUUGUAGUUGUGGAGCUUCCUUCCAUUCACUAUUUGGGUUUUGGUUCUGAAUCUCUGAUGCGGUGGUGUGGCUGCCUCCCAGCUGGUGAUGAAUGUACACUCUGACUUGUUGGAAGAACCCAGGCAGACCUUGGCUUCCCACCAGGGAGUUUCCAGUAAAUGCUAAACACCCAAAAUCUGUAUUUAGCUUCUUUGGAAGAGCCUUAGUUUCUCUGCAAAUGUGCAUCCAGGAGUUCCUGCUAUAUGGGUUUCCCCCCAGAGACUCUAUAGUGGUGGCCUGCUGGCCUUGGGGCAAGCCCAGCAGCUCUUUGAGUGAGCCCUUUUGGAGUUGAGAGUGGAUUCUACUUUUCUGACCCUGGUGGGGCAGGACUGAUGGCUAAAGCUUUAGAGGAGGGUUCUUUAACCAGUGUGAGUUUAGGUAACUUGGGGGUUGUUUUGUGAUCUGUGAAUCAUCCUUCCCCUAGGCUUUCCUGGAUUCCUUGUUAACAGCCAGAUUUCCACUUUGAUUCUAACCAUUUGUUUUAACAGAGCCAGUUUUUGGCCUGUUGCACUGCGUGGUUUACUUGUGUGUGCCUGCAUUUGUAAUUACGCUGCACAUAAUUUGCAUCUUGAUUCACUUCAGGCCUUUCUGCUUUCUGCUCUGUACUUACCUCUAGGGUUGUAUGAAGUGGGAAUUUAAGACAGCAUUGGUGUCAAACCACUGGCGUGCUACUUUCAUUUGUUUCUUUAUCUCCACUUUACAUUUUGCAUUUUAAGUUAAGUUAUAAAAUUGUGACUUUACUGAACUAUAUUAUGAAUUUCAUCAAAACAAUUUCCACGGACAUGUGAUACUUGGCAUGGUGAUAUGUGUAUUGAAUCCUUGUUUUUUUCUCCUGGGAGUCAGCUGAUUAAAAACCAUUCGUAAGCUUCAGAGAUAUUUGAAAAUUUUGACUUUGGAAUAAGUCGGUUUUACUCAUAACUUAUUUUUUAAUGUUCCAUGAGAUAGGUGGUGUAAAGAUGACUUGGAAGAACUUUUAAUGAAUUAAUUUGAAAUGUAUUUCUUUUGAUGAAUUUGAAUGUACUAUUUAGAAUUCAUUUGAAAUGCAGUAAAAUGUUUAUAUAUUUACAUAAUAUUUUAGUAUAAUUAUAUUUAAUAUGACAAAUUCUUUUAUGACAAAAGAAGUUUCCAGAUUUUUUUAAAAACUCUUUUACAAGUGACUUCUUUUUCCUCUGAGUUUUGGAGAGCGGUCACACUAUAAAAUUACAUCUGUAUUCCACAAAAGUUAGUAACUGGAAAAGGAAUGAAUGUCUAGUUAUAAUGACAUCAUUGGCUUAAAAUAUCAAUGGGGUUUAUAACUUUGACUUUCCUUAGCAGUGAGAAAUUUCUCCUUUGAGAAAUUUUUUGAGAGAGAAAAUACUCUCUUGAAAACUACUUUCUUGAAAAGCAAGCUGAGUGUGCAUGCGAUAGGUGGUGAAUACUGGGGCCAGGAUGUAGUCAUGACUGAUUCUUGAGUCUAGGUUUCAUUUUACUGAGGCAUGUGUAAGACUUAGGCACACCCUCUCCUUUGACAAGCCUUUCCUUGUUGCAACAGAUUCUGUAACUUGCUUGUUGGUUGCUGAUGCAGCAUUUCAGAAGUUGACUGUGCAGUGUGGCCCCCAGGUGAAAGCUUCGUCUUUUCUCCCCAGAUCCCAGCAGAAUGACUAUCAGGGUGGGAGGCAUCAGUACAAAGCAGUUUACCAGGUUUGUUUUGAAGGGAUGGCAGGGGAAAGAAAGGGUGCGUUUUUCAGAGAAUUUAGCAGGGCAGAAAAUGCACGUGGGGAACAAAGGAGUAUAAGGAUUUUGUUUAGUUUAGGGGAUGGAUAGGGCAGAGAAUGCAUUUAACUGCAUUGUACUGGGAUUUUGUUUAUUUAAAUACAGUUCAGUCUUCAGAACAUCUUGGGAGUUAAUAUGUUGACCCAAUCCAUUGACCCAAGGCUAGCGGAGUUUGCUUCUCAAUGUCAAUGCUUUGUCUGCUGCCUAAUCCAAUAGUCUCCACACCGAUAGUAGGGUGUUUCUCUACGUUUUCUUUCCAAGGAAAUUGCUUCAUUCUCAUUGAAUGACAAGAAGUGGCCUUUUGCUCAUGCUUUUUUUUUUUUUUUCAGUUUAGCAGUUGUGCAGGUUUACUUCAUUGUCUGUAGCUGUUUGCCUUUGUUUUUAAAGAGUGCAAAGAUUUGGAAUCAGGAAACCUUUGUAAUUGAGUUUAAGAACUUGCUUUUUGCUUCUUUAACUAGGUUUACUUCAUACAUAAUUUGUAAAUCUAAGGAUUAAUCUGAAUAAUGAACAUUUUGAGUAAGACACUGCCUUAGUUAUUUAGUGCUAAUAUAACAGGUGGGUGGCUUUAACAAACAAAUUUACUUUCUCACAGUUUAGGAGGCUUGAAGUCCAAAUUCAGGGUGCUGGCUUAAGGGGAAGGCUUUCUCUCUUUUGGCUCUGGAGAGAGGUCCUUGUCUCUUCAACUUCUGCUUCUUGGUUCCUUGGAGAUCUCCAUGUGUCUUGGCAUUUGUCUUACCCCAUCAAUCCUCUGCUUGCUUGUUUAAUCUCUUUUAUAUUGCAAAAGAGAUUGUCUCAAGGUACACCCUCCACUAAUCCUGCCUUGGAGCCCUGGUGGCUCAGUGGUUAAGAGCUUGGUUGCUGCCCUCCUUGGAAGCCUUCCUUGGAAACCCUAUGGGGCAGCUCUACUCUGUCUUAUAGGGUCGCUAUGAGUCAGAAUCAACUCAACACCAGCAGGUUUUGGUUAAUCCUGCCUCUUUUUUUUUUUUUUUUAAGAGUGGGGCUGCUACCUAAUAGGUCAGCAGUCUGAAUCUACCAGCCACUCCUUGGAAACCCUGUGGGGCAGUCCUACUCUGCUAUAGGGUCGCUAUGAGUCUGAAUCACCUCCAUGGCAACAAGUUUGGUUUGUGUUUUUGGAAUCCUGCUUCAUUAAUAUCACAAAGACAACCCAUUCCCAAAUGGGAUUAUAACCACAGGUUUAAGGUUUACAACACAUAUUUUUUGAGGACACAAUUCAAUCCAUAACAGACAAUAUUCUAAAUUAGAAAAAGAAAAAGCAAAACCAAACCCAUUGCCAUCAAGUUGAUUUAGACUCAUGGCAACCUCACGUGUUAGAAAGAAGAGCUGCACUAUGGGGUUUUCUUGGUUGUAAUCAUUACAGAAGCAGAUUGCCAGGCCUUUCUUCUGCAGUGUCACUAAAUAGGUUCUAACUGCCAACCUUUAGGUUAGUAGACAAGUGCAAACUCUUCGUGCCACCCAGUAACCACAUUCUAAAGUAUAGAACUGCUUAUUGUGGUCUAGUCUACAAACCUAGUGGUCCUUGCCUCUUCUUAUAGGCCGGCUCUGCUCUCUAUUGAUCUGUGUGCAGCACUGUUGGGACUGGAAAAGGGAAGGCCCCUUGCUGCCUGAGUGACAUUGGGCAGAUCACUAGAGAAGCCUCAGUGUACUCAGGAAGUGUUUGUAGAAUCUGAACCAAGGAAUUGUCCUAUUUCAGUUCCAUGGAACUUUGGUAUUUUAAAGAGAAACAUUGAGAAAAAACUAUGAAAUCGUUAUUUUCAUCCUUAUAUCCAGCCUAACCAAGCAUAUUUUUGGUCUUUGUCAUUUUGGGUCUUGACAUGGCCAUUGUUAGUCAAGGAGAAUAUGAAAUUCCUACUUUAUAGUCAUUAUUGAUGUGGCCUUCUUACUGAUACCAGAGUGUCUGAACCAGAAUGGAAAUAAAUAGGUAAAAUAGAAGCCUACAGCUUUCCACUUAGUUUGAACUUGAGGCUAGGUAAGCUUGUAGAUUUUAACUGAAAAUAAGAACAGAGUGGGUCUUGGAGAAUAACUUGAAUAUACUGAGAGAAUGUUAAAAAUCCAAGUUGUUAAAUAUAGUUGAAGAACUUUUUUUUUUUUUUUUGGUAUGUGGAGCAUCCGUGUUUAUUUGGAUAGAGUGGUUUGCCUGUGUAAAAGCCUUGUGUUUAAACCCUACUCUAAGCAUAAAAACAUGUUUAACUGAAUGUAAUUGCCAUGUACUCAAUUUGCUGUCCAUUUUGGAACAGUCUCAUAACACUAAAAUAACAUAAGAGGGUUUAAAUUAAAUCAGAGGUUAAGACAGAUAUGCUUAAAUGCCUUAUUGUAGCCUCUGUAAUGAUUAAAACAGGUUGACAAAAUAUUUUUGUAAGUAUUAGCUUCCCUUUACAUACGGGGUUUAGUAGUCUAUUUUCAUUUUUAGUAGAGAAAAGGUCUCAAACAUAUUUGAGAAAGUUUUUAUUAAAAGCCUUUUAGUUUUUGUUUUUUAAAAGAAAAUUCACCAGUUAAUCAAGAAAUGAUUCUUAAAUGCAUAGUGAACUUGAGAUCUGGGGCAUCAGUGGUCUGCAGUUCGCCUCCUAAAUGGUCUUAUUGUGUCCACUCAGCUCCUUUCAAUCUGAUUUUCCAGCCACAGGGAGAGGUCAAGGUUAAGGCAGAGGCUCUGCAUGUGGGCCUGGUGGAUGAUCAAGUGGGAAGGUCAUGCUGGGGCCUGAUUGUGGAGUGCCUUGAACAUAUGCUAAGGACUUUAGUCUGUGAGUUUCUGAAUCUGUUUGUGACAUGAUCAUAGUAUAGUUUUCAGAAGGCUGAUAUGAAGGUGAUGUUCAAACUUUUGCCUGUGUAUCCCCAUCUUAGUCAUCUAGAGCCGCUACAACAGAAAUACUGCAAGUGGAUGGCUUUAACUAAGAGAAGUUUAUUUCUUCACAGUAAAGUAGGCUAAAAGUCCAAAUUCAGGGCAUCUGCUCCAGGGGAAGGCUUUCUCUGUCGGUUUUCUUAUCACUCUUCCCCCAGACUAGGAGAUUCUCUGUGCAGGAACCCUGGGUCCAAAGGACACACUCUGCUCCCAGCACUGCUUUCUUGGUGGUAUGAGGUCCCUCACUCUCUGCUUACUUCCCUUUAGUUUUAUAUUUUCUAAGAUAAAAGGUGGUGCAGGCCACACCCCAGGGAAACUCCCUUUACAUUGGAUAGGGAUGUGACCUUAGUAAGGGUGUUACAAUCCCAUCCUAAUCCUCUUUCCCAUAAAGUAACAAUCACAAAAUGGAGGACAACCACACAAUACUGGGAAUCAUGGCCCGGCCAACUUAAUGCACACAUUUUUGGGGGAACAUAAUUCAAUCCAUGACAAUCUCCUAAAAGAAUUUGAAAAAACAAUCCUGCUUGCACAUUUUAUAUUUGUCGUACACAGUUUUUAAGGUUGAAAUAGAUGCAGUCUAGUUUCUAGCUUAAUUGUAAGCGUUGUUCCUUUACGUGUAUUCAGAGUUCAAAUAUCAUAGGGAUUUGAUAGCCAUUUAUUAUACAUUUUCAAAAUGAAAUAGAUGUUUUACACAUUUUCCAAUGUUUUAUGUUGUAGUUGUUGUUGUUGAGAAUAUACACAGCAGAACAUACACCAGUUCAACAAUUUCUACACAUAUAAUUCAGUGACAUCGAUUGCAUUCUUCAAAUUGUACAACCAUUCUCACUUCUCUUUCCCACAUUGCUCCUCUCCAUUAACAGAAACUCGCUGCCACCUAAGUUUCAUAUCUGAACUUUAAAGUUGCUGUUGUCAGUUUGCUCCCAUAUAGAUAAUUCUUAAAAGAGCACAGUGCUCAAGGCAGACAUUCUCUACUACUUAAGGUAAACUAUUUUUUUUUUUUCACUGUGCUUUAGAUGAAGGUUUACAGAGCAAAUUAGUUUCUCGUUAAACAAUACACAUAUGGUUUUGUGACAUUGGUUGCCAGCCUCAUGACAUGUCAACAUUCUCCACUUCUCGACCUUGGGUUCCUUAUUAUCAACUUUCCUGUCCCCUCCUACCUUGUCUUCUUGCCCCUGGCCUGGUGUGCCCAUUUAGUCUCGUCUUGUUUUAUGGGCCUCUUUAAUCUUUUGACUGAAGGGCGAACCUUAGGAGUGACUUCAGUACUGAGUUAAAAGGCUGUUUGGGGGCCACACUCUUGGAGUUUCUCCAGUCUCUGUCAGACUAGUAGGCCUAGUCUUUUUUGUGAGUUAGAAUUUUUUUCUACAUUUUUCUCCAGUUUUGUCCAGAACCCUCUAUUGUGAUCCUUGUCAGAGCAGUUGGCGGUGGUAGCUGGGCACCAUCUAAUUGUGCUGGACUCAGUCUGGAGGCAGUGGUAGUUGUGGCCUAUUAGUCCUAUGCUAAAAUAUUGUUUGGCUUCAAGACAACUUCAGGGAAUAUUUUUGGUUGAAGGCUUAAAGAUAAUCUCAGGGCAGUAGUUUCAGGGGUUAUCCAGCCUCUGUGGCUCCAAAAAAUCUGGUUUCCAUGAGAAUUUGAAAUUCUGUUCUGAAUUUCCUUUUUUUUGAUCAGGAUUCUUAUAUAGAAUAUUAGAUCAAAAUGUUCAGAAAUGAAGCCAGGCACUAUCCAGUUCUUCUGGACUCAUGGCAAAGAAGGUAGUUGUUUAUGUUCAUGGAGGCAAUUAGCCACACAUUCCAUUUCUUCCUCCUUUUCCUGACUCUUCUUCUUCCUCUGUUGCUCCAGGUGAAUGGAAACCAAUUGUUGUACCAUGGGUGACCACUUGUAAGCUUUUAAGACCCCAGGCACUGUGCAAUGAACUAAGAGACAGAAACAGAAGCACUAAACAUGUUACUAAUCCAGUUAACUGGGAUGUCCCACGACCACAACCCUAAACCCUCCAAACCCAGAAACUGAAUCCCAUGAGGUAUUUGGUUGUACAAGAGCCAGGGUACUUGUUCUUUUUUUUUUUUUGUAAGUGUAUCUGUCUCACACAAUUUUUGCCUAUUCAACUUUUGACAGGUGUACAACUUAUGGACAGCAGUCACAUUAAUCGGCUGUGCAACCCUUCUCUUAAUGCGACUUUUCUAUCAGCGUAAACUUUUUUCUUUUUUUGCAUUUCAUUCUUACCCAGAAUUUGAUCCUAAGACAGUGUAUUGUCCUGCUUGAAAGACUUUUUUUUUAAUUGAAAAAAUUUUUUUUAUUGUACUUUAGAUGAAGGCUUACAGAACAAGUUUCUCAUUAAAUAAUUAGUACACAUACUGUUUAAUGACAUUGGUUAACAACCCCAGGACAUGUCAACACUCUCCCUUCUCAACCUUGAGUUCCCUGUUACCAGCUUUCAUGUCCCCUCCCGACUUCUCUUCCUUGCCCCUGGCCUGGUGUGCCUGUUUAGUCUCAUUUUGUUUUUGGGCCUGUCCAGUCUUUGGCUGAAGGGUGACUUCGUUACUGAGCUGAAAGGGUGUCCAGUGACCAUACUAUCAGGGUUUCUCUAGUCUAUGUCAGGCCGGCAAGUCUGGUCUUGAACUACUUGUUGAUCAUUCUAUCAUAUAUAUAUAUAUAUAUUUUAUAACAAAAUCUGUACAUAAACUUAAGUUUUUGUUAAGAGGCACUUCUGGAAUGGCAGAAUAAGGACCUCUAGAAAUCUGCUUCUCCAUAAAAGUAAUGAGCACACAGACAAAAAUGAUCAAAACCAACUUUUUAGAAUUCUGGAUAUCCUGGGAGUGUUUACUCAAGAAAAAUGGCUGAAUUUCAGUAAGAACAGCAGGCUUCGUGAUGUUUUAAUUUGUUCUAUUCUCACCCCUUCUCCGUAUCUCCAUGGUAGCAUUGAAAACCAGCAGCAUAGCAGUCACUGGAAAGGGAAGAACAUAUUUAUCACUGCCCCAAAAGCCCCAACUCCAGAGAAUUGUCACUAUUUGACCUGUCCAGAAGCUCCUCGGAAAACCUUCAUUCAUAGGGUUUGUCUUUAUUUGACCUGAUGCAGAAGGUUGCCCAUUGCAAAAAGUCCUAUUCCUAGGGUGUUUUUCAAAAACAGCUAGUGACAAUUGUUUGACAUUAUAGCUGCCUGAGGCAAUGAUAACCAGUUGGGACAAAUGAGGUAGGCCAAAAAACUUAAAAAAGAAAACACUGGAAAUGAGAUGUCCACAGGGGGCUUUGAAAAGCUUUAACAUAUUACUGGGGCUGUAGAAGACUGUGUGGAGCCCUGGUGGUGCAGUGGUUAAGAGCUCGGCUGUUAACCAAAAGAUUGGCACUUUGAAUCCACUAGCCACUCUUUGGAAACCCUAUGGGUCAGUUCUACUCUGUCUUGUAGGGUUGGUAUGAGUCGGAAUUGACUCAGUGAUAACGGGUUUGGUUUUGGAAGACCAUGUGCAUGGACAGGGCCUUGCAUACGCCCAGAGAAGACCUGGAACGCUCUAAUUCUCACUGUGGCUGACAUGAGGCUCUGCAUAAGCAGAAAGUGAAGGCUAAAGUAAGGUUGUUAACUACCAUAGUGCAUUGAAGGUGUGCUCUGGUGUACACACAUAGAGCUCCUUGGCAAAGGGUGAGAGACUCACUCUUUUAAGGCAUUUAAAGAAAUAUGUCUGGUUAUUAGCUGACCACUAAGCUAACUGAGCAGAGACUUCAGUGGCUGCCCACAACAAAAAAUACAGACUUUACAGAAUUAAUUGGAAAAUCAUGAAACAAACCAAAAGCAAUAACAAGAAACAGCAACAACAGAAAAUUCUUUGGUGGGAAGUGAAUCUGUUUUUCAGAGUUACCACACUAUAUUAUUUAAAAUGUCCAGCUUCCAACAAAAAAUUAUAAGUCAUACAAAGAAAUAGAGAAGUAUGGCCCAUACACAAAAAAAAUGCAGUCAAUGGAGACUGUCCUUGAAAAGCCCAGAUGUUGAAUUUAUUAGACAAGACCUUUAAAUCAGCCAUUAUAAAUAUGUUCAAAGAACUAAAGGAAAUCAUAUCCAGUAAAUUAAAGAGAGGAGCAGAAUUUGUGGUAGGCAUCUUGAGUUUUGGUGAGGGUGAAGGGUGGUAAUCCCAUAGGCAUUGGAAGUGUAAUUCUGGAUUGAGCUUGUGGUAGAGAUUUUCUAGUCUUCACAUAGGAAGGAGUAUAGCAAUUGCAGAAAACUCUGGGGUGAAAGAAUACAGAGAGAAUAGAGCCAAAAAUGUUAUUUUCUUUUGAAAGAAUAUUCCACUUUUCCAAAAGAGACAUUUAAAACCAUUUAAAUAAAACCUGGGACAGUCUUUAAAAAUCCAUUUGGGCCUUUUAAAGGCUAUUUAGAAAGAACAAUGAGAGCCAUGUUUAUUUUACUGUAGCAAUAUAUUUACUGUUCUUUAGAAGAAAAUUGAUUUCCUAGUGAGACAUAACAUCCUUAAAACACAGGGAUAUAAGUUACAAUUCAGAAUAAGUUUUAUCUAGAUGCUAAGUCAGCCAUUGGCUGUGUAAACAAUAAGUUUACUUUAAAUAAUCACUAAUUUUGUAUAUUAUGUCUGCUAUACCAGAUAAAUAUAAGGUCCAUAUUAUAUCAAAUAUUUUUAAUUAACAAUUUAUUGUAAUUAGAUAAUUAGGAUCCCUCAAGUAUUCCUUGUAAAGUUUGUUUUGUUUUCUGAAACCACACUAAGAGUUUUGUAAAGUGACAUUUACAAUAUGAGAAGUGACUAAAAUAAUGUUCCUGUGUUCCUAACCCACAUAUAAUCCAUUGUGGUGGAGGGAGCUUGGGGGAGAAUCCCUGCCUCACCUCCAGGCCUUUGCACGUACCAUGCCUCCUGCGUCCCCUUCACUUGGUGCACUCCUAUUUUUCCUGCUACCUGCUCUGGGAAGCCUUCCCUGGCUUUUUUAAAUCUGAGCUAAGCACAGCUUCUAUGUGUGCCUCUAACAACUAACCAAUGAAAACAGCAAAUGUAGUGACUACACUCAAGGGCCAAGGAAUGCCACCAAUGGCUUAAAAUUGUAAACACCCACUAUGGAGUCCUUCAACAGGAAUUCCAGCUCUGUGAAUGACAGGGGAGCACAGUGGACAGGAAACAGGCUUUGGAGUUAAAAGACAGUUUUCAGUUUUGGCUCUGUCACUUUCUGGUUUGUGAUCUUGGGCAAAUCACUUCAUGUUUCUAAGCUCCCGCUUUCUUACUUUACAAGUAGGAAUAAUAACACCUGUGUCAUAGGUGAGGCCUAAAUGAUAGGAUGUGUUUUCAGAUGCUUAGUGCCAUAUCAGGCAAGUAGUGUCUGAUAAAUGUCUACCAGGCACUCCUGGGAAACCAUAUGAGGCAGUUCUACUCUGUCCUAUAAGGUCGCUAUGAGUUGGAAUCGAUUCGAUGGCAGAGGGUUUGGUUCACUUAAGUGAAAGUUUACAGAUCAAGUUAGUCACUCAUACAGAAAGUUAUACCCACCUUGCUAUGUACUCCUAGCUGCUCUCUCCCUAAUGAGACAGCACAUUCCACAUCUCUACCCUGUAUUCCCGUGUCCACUCAACCAGCUCCUGUUCCCCCCUUCCUUCCCAUUUCGCCUCCAGGCAGGAGUUGCCCACAUAGUCUCAUGUGUCUACAUGAGCCAAGAAGCUCACUCCUCAUCAGUGUCAUUAUCUGUCUUAUAGUCCAGUCCAAUCCCUGUCUGAAGAGUUGGCUUCGGGAAUGGUUCCAGUCUUGGCCUAACAAAGAGUCUGGGGACCAUGACCUCCAGGGUCCCUCUAGCCUUUUUUUUUUUUUUUUAGAAUUAUAGCUGUUUUAUCUGUACAGUUAGUUGUCUCUUUCCCUCAGUGGACAAUGGGUUCCACCAGGGCAGGAGACCACCAUCUCUCUGUUACUCACCUUUUGCAUUCUCUACACUAAACUCAGCACUGGGCACAUAAUAGGUGUUCAGAAACAUCGGUUGAAUCGACGAUUGAUUGAUUGGCAGUUGGUCGUAAUUGGCUUAUUUUCAGAGACCUAUAUAUUUUCUUUCUUAUGCAGUAAGUGUUUAACCCUAAGGCGAACUCUGGGGCCUUUACUGUAUUUCUUAGAACAGAGCCCUUAUCAAAUGAUAGCUAUAAAAAUAAAUCAUACAUCUGCCCAAAAUGAUUGGUUAUUAGUCACCUCGAAAUUUGAAAGCUCUUUCUGCUAAGAAAACUGACUUAUUCAGAGACUGGAACACUUUGAAAUGGUUUUCUAUAUGAAGUUUAUCUUUAUGGCUUCAGUUUUUAAAGUAUUUUUGGAAUAUAACUAUAAUACUUUUGGCAGGUGUUGAUACACAGUCAAGUACCCAGAUUAUCCUAUAUUUGAGUUCUUAAUUGUAUUGAUUUCAGAGGGAUUUUGUGUGUCAGACCUAGUAAAUUGGUGUUGUCCACUUAUCAUCCCAUGCUGAUAAAAAAAAAUUUGGCCUCAGAUCUACAAUAUUUCCAGAUGAAGUACACCUACUAGAGUGGCAAACUGUAAAAUCUGGUUUUAUACCAAAGGAGAAGGUACUCAUUGAAUUUGUAUUGAUGCCAAGUAAGGAGGCAAGGAAUGAUUAGUAUCUUAGAGACUGUGGUCAGAAUUCAAAAUGGUGGUGACAGAUUCCUGCGUGGCCAACACUCAACUGGCUGACAUUCAAAGAGUGACAUGAGAAAGAACCAACCCAACCAACAAAGGAAAGCUGCAUGGGAAUAACACACGUUGGACAGAGCUGGCCAUUUUUGAACAGACAAAAACAAGUGGGGUUCACAAUGGACCAUGAGGUUAAAAUGUAACUGCUCAGAGAAUUUGGCUAGCAGAACUGUAACUCCCAUUCAAGUACUAGCUUGGGUUUAUAAUAAACUGAAGGCCCUUGUCUUUUCUACUUUUUGUUUUCAUAGCUUUCUGUUUGCAAAAAAUAUAUAUAAGACUGUAACAAUCAGUUUUCGUAUUAAAGAGUAUUUUGGGUUUUCUCCACUAGAGCAAGUGAAAUUAAAACAGAAGAGUUUUGAAGAGCAUUUUUGUUAUUAUUCUUCACUGUGGAAAUAAUACUUCAUCUUGAUAGACCUGUGUGUGCUCAUACACACCUAUAUAUGUCAGUUUGAUAGAAAACCAUAAGGGAAGAGCACACUGGGCAUUCCUCAAGCUAAAAGAACUGAAGAAAUAAGCCUCAAGUUGCAAUAGAGAAAGAUUCUCUGGGGAAAAUACUAAAUGAUGCAGGAAGCAUCAAAAGAAGAUGGAAGGAAUACACAGAGUCAUCAUACCAAAAAGAAUUGGUAGACGUUCAACCAUUUCAAGAGGUAGAAUAUGAUCAGGAAUCGAUGGUAUUGAAGGAAGAAGUCCAAGCUGCACUGAGGGCAUUGGUGAAAAACAAGGCUUCAGGCAUUGAUGGAGUUGAGAUGUUUCAGCAAAUGGAUGCAGUGCUGGAAGUGCUCACUCGUCUAUGCCAAGAAAUCUGGAAGACAGCUACCUGGCCAACUGACUGGAAGAGAUCCAUAUAUAUGCCUAUUCCCAAGAAAGGUGAUCCAGCCGAAUAUAGAAAUUAUCAAACAAUGUCAUUAAUAUCACAUGUAAGCAAAAUUUUGCUGAAGACCAUUCAAAAGCCGGUGCAGCAGUGUAUCGACAGGGAACUGCCAGAAAUUCAGGCUGGAGUCAGAAGAGGACGUGGAACCAGGUAUAUAUCAUUGCUGGUGUUAGAUGGAUUCUGGCUGAAAGCAGAGAAUAUCAGAAAGAUGUUUACCUGUGUUUUAUUGACUAUACUAAGGCAUUAGACUGUGUGGAUCACAAUAAAUUAUAGAUAAAAUUGCGAAAAAUGGAUAUUCCAGAACACGUAAUUGUGCUUGUGAGGAACGUGUAAAUAGAUCAAGAGGCAGUUGUUCUACAGAACAAGGGGAUACUGAUUGGUUUAAAGUCAGGAAAGGUGUGCAUCAGGAUUGUAUCCUUUCGCCGUACCUAUUCAAUCUGUCUGCUGAGCAGAUAAUCCAGGAAGCUGUACUAUGUGAAGAACGGGACAUCAGGAUUGGAGGAAAACUCAUUAACAACCUGCAUUAUGCAGAUGACACAACCUUGCUUGGUGAAAGUGAAGAGGACUUGAAUCACUUACUGAUGAAGAUCAAAGACAACAGCCUUCAGUAUGGAUUACACCUCAACAUGAAGAAAACAAAAAUCAUCACAACUGGACCAAUGAACAACAUCGUGAUAAAUGGAGAAAAGAUUGAAUUUGAAAAGGAUUUCGUUUUAGUUGGAUCCAUAAUCCACACCCAUGGAAGCAGCAGUCAAGAAAUCAAAAGACCCAUUGCAUUGGACAAAUUUGCUGUAAAGGACCUCUUUAAAGUGUUGCAAAGCAAAGAUGGCACCUUGAAGACUAAGAUACGCCUGACCUAAGCCAUGGUAUUUUCAAUCACAUCAUAUGCGUACAAAAACUGGACAAUGAAUAAGGAAGACCGAAGAAGAAUUGACGCAUUUGAAUUGUGGUGUUGGCGAAGAAUAUUGAAUAUACCAUGGACUGCCGAAAGAACGAACAGAUCUGCCUUGGAAGAAGUACAGCCAGAAUGCUCCUUAGAAGCAAAGAUGGCAGGACUGCAUCUUACAUACUUUGGACAUGUUGUCAGGAGGAUCAGUCCCUGGAGAAUGAUAUAUCAUGUUUGGUAAAGUACAGGGUCAAUGGAAAAGAGGAAGAUCCUCAAUGAGAUGGAUUGACACAGUGGCUGCAACAGUGGGCUCAAGUAUAACAAUGAUUGUGAGCAUGAUGCAGGACCCGGGCAGUGUUUCAUUCUGUGGUACAUAGGGUUGCUAUAGGUUGGAACAGACUGGACAGCACCUGACGACAACAGCAUGUGCACAUGUACAUAUGUAUCCAAUUACAUGGAUAAGGGUGUAUUUAUAGUUAUUUAUAGAUAAGCUCAUAUACAUGGAUGUGUGUGUACCUUAUUUCAAUUGGUGCCUGUUAUAAACUUAUUUUUUCUUUUAAUUUACAUAAGAGUACAUGUAUAUGUCCUGAAUUGAAUAUGACUUUUUCUUAUUAAAACAAGUUAACAUUAAGAUUGUUAGUGCCAUUGAUAAAGGCUAUAAAUAUAACCUGUUGUUCUCAUUAUUAAAUUAUUACAUUGAUACUUUUUCGUUAGCCAUCCUAAGAAGGUCGAGUUGGACUCUGUAAAUGUGAAUGGUAAUGUUAUCUAGGAGUCAGUUUGGAUUACAUGGCCACAUCUUUAUUAUUUGUCAUUUCUUAGUUCCUUUCUGCUUUCUCUUUUCCCCAUAGGUAAGGUCUCUGAGGCAACUAUGGGACUCUUCAUGUUUGUCAGAAAUGAAUUCCAAGGUUGAUACAUGAGGGAGGAGAAAGAGAGAAGGGGGCAGGAAGAGGGCGUUGCUGCGAAAAGCCAAGUGGAGACAAGACUGGGCCCACACGAGGAUGACAGACCCUUAGAAGAGUCUAGACGUCGUGAGCUAGAGCCAAGGAGAGAGGAUCCCUCAGAAGACAAGGCAGGGCAGAGUUGAAAGGAAUCAGGGCCUACUCUAAUGUGUUUGGGUUUCAUCAGUGAGGUGGGGAGGGGAGAGGGUGAUCUUGGGGGGGCAGGAGACGUGCAUGGACAGAUGGAGGAAGGAAGACUGAGGAGGUUGGGUUGGUUGAGUGACAGGAGCCAGCCAAAAAUAUGUCUUGAGAGAAUAACAGAGAGAGAAACCAGGAAUGAUGGGAAUAGGCAGAGGCCAUGUUAUAACAGAAGGAUGAAUAGCAAAUUCUGGAGCUGAGGUAGCUGAGACAGGGAAGGUGGAAGAGAAAUGUGAAAUGGGUAGAGUGAGCUGGCUUCGAGAACUGAGAGCCCUUGCUGCUUGUGCCUCUGAAUACUUCUGUAAGGGGUGGAGCACAGGGUAUGGUCUGGAGGGCAGCUGCUCCUGGAAGGUACUGAGCCUGUAGGGUUCCCAGGGUCGGUAGAUCAGCACUCCCCUUACCUCUCACCUCCAGCCCAUCUUUCCCAGACUUUGGAAAAUGAAGAGGGAGGGAACCACUUUGACACCCAUGGCAUACAGACUUUAACGCAUGUUGGGCAAAACUGAUUUGAAAAUUACCAGGUGGUAAAUGAGUCUUUGUUUUGAUUAUUUACACCCUCCUUGUUCCAAAAAUAAUUUAAAGUGGCUUUCCAAAUGACACGUAAUACUAUAAGAUAAAUAAUAAAUAAGUGAGGAUAUUAGUGAUAGGGAAAAUACUAUUAGGAAAAAAAAUCAUGCAUGUCUUGAGUCAUGUACAAGAGGUAGAUCACAAAUUGGUCCUUCACAUUUCUAGUAUAUAUUGUGCUCUACAGUGUCCAUCAGAUCAAAACAAGCCAGUUGCUUAGCUAUUUAUAGACAUUUUAAAAUACUGAACAAUGUCCACGACAAUAUCUUUUCAUAGAUAAAACAAAUUUAUGAGGCCUUCUGACGUCAUUGAAAGCAAUCUGUCCAGGGACUGAAACAAUGUGAUCAGGUAUUCAGCUCCCUGAUGGUCUGGUUUAAUUGAGGGAUAGAUUUUAUCUAGCACAGGAGUCACACACCCACAUGCCUACAGGACAUAAGUAUAUGAAUGGGCCUGGGGUGCAGGUGUGGCUGCUAGGAGAGCGCAUGCUACAGCUAAACGGCAUUCAGAUUCACAUUUCAUAACACAAACCUUGUACUGACUUCAUAGGACACAGUACAGGCCAAACUGCCCCGUUAAAAUUCUGGUCUAGAGGAAUGUGUAGAUAGCAUAUCAUCUAGGAGAUCUUAAAAACUUUUUCUCACUUGAGCUUUUGGAAGAUAAUGAAUAGCAGUGAGUUAUGGGUUGUAUUUUUUUGACAAGUACCUGGUCCGUAGAUGCCCCACGCUGAGGUAAAAUCAUGAGAUCGUUGAGAUUGCAGAGAUAAGGGGAGGUGGUCAACUCCAAUAUGGCCUUGGGCCUCCAGGCCCCAUUUUGGGGUCCACCAGAAGAGAAGAAACAGGUCCAACGUUUUGGGACACCAUGUUGUAACGUAGAUGGUAAAUGGAAAUCACAUAUAUAAAAUGUGAUUAAGAAGUUUUGAUUAUGGGCAGAUUUUGAAUAUGUGUCCUCGCAAAGGAGGACAUUGAUGAGGAUAAUCAAAAUUAAGCUCUAUAGUGUUUUAGAGUAGUGAUGAGGUAGUUAAGGUCAGCAGUUUGAAUCCACCAGGCGCUCCUUGGAAACUCUGGGGGGCAGUUCUAUUCUGUCCUAUAGGGUUGCUAUGAGUCGAAAUAGACUCGACGGCAGCUUUGGUUUUUGGAUUUUCAGUGUUUUAGAAGAAGACCAUUUCCUAUCAAAAGAUGAUAUCAGGUCUUCUCUGGAGCCUUAAAUGGAAUAGUUUUCUAGUUAUUUAUGUGCACACACCCAUCAUUCCAUACAUCCCUUCAUCCAUCCACACACACACAUGCACAGAUGCAUGCAUGCAUAUAUAAAAACACCAUAUACUUAGUCUGGAGUCCUGUUUCCAUCUUGUGAUAUUAUGAUAUUUGGUUCUAAGCAUUCUGGAGCUUUCCUUCAGAUUAUGUAGCUGUCGUAUGUGUAGAUGCUAGGAUAUAGUGUAGUUUUCAGUGAUCCAGCACCUCCAAGCAGGAGAAAAGGCAGCCUGCUAAUUAAUUUUCUAAUACAGUGUGAUCCUAUUAUAUGCAAAUUGAAUUAUGCAAAUUCUAACUAAUGAGACAUAAAAAAAAAAAUGAGACAUAAGUAAUAUUAAUAAAAGCCUCACAGUAUAUACGGAACUUCAAAGGACACAUUCCCCCAAAUUAUGCAGCAAGUCAUCUCAGAUUUUCAAAGCUGGCAGGCCAGUGGAAUUGUAAAACUGCUUGGUUACCCAGCGGCACCACCUUUUAUUAUAAACAGAAAUGUCUUCUACUAAUCUUUGGCAAUUUUACAUGAACUCUGUGUAAUGAACUUCUUCAAGGAUUUUGGUGACAUUUGUGUUUUUAUUUUAGCUUCCUAUAAUUUAAAACCUUUAUUAUAUCUUUCAAAAUGUCACCCAGGUAUGCUAUUAAAAAAAAACAAAACCAAAACCAAACCCAUUGCUGUUGAGUCGAUUCCGACCCAUAGCAACCCACAGGACAGGGUAGAACUGCCCCAUACAGUUUCCAGGGAGCACCUGGUAGAUUCGAACUGCCAGCCUUUUGGUUAGCAGCUGUACCACUUAAUCACUGUGCCACCGGGGUUUCCAAGUAUUUAUAGCAGUGCUGAAAAUCAGGAACUUUGAAACGGAAAUUAGGCAUGAUAAAAUACUAUGAUAUGCCAUGCCGUUAUUUUAUGAGGUAAGCUCAGAAAUAUGAGAUGAUGCCAGUAAAGUUAAAAAGAACCAGGAAAGCAAAAAUAUAACACCAUGCCUACAGAUUUAUGUGUUCGGAAAGUGCACUCCCCACACUAUCCCCCCCAGACUGUGGGAAGAUUGGUCUUGAAUUAUGUCAGUUUUUCACGAAUGCAUCGCAUGCGUAAAAUGGAACCAGCUUUUGUGAGUCCCUGUUACCUAGGCUUGGCUAAGAUGGCUUAGGUUGAAAAAUACAUAGAACAAGGUACUUAUGUGUCUGACAUUGAGGAGAAGAGAAUCUGGAAGGUCACCUUUUCUUCUCCUUAAAACUAAAAAAAACUAGUCGGCAUAUAUUUAAUGAAUUAUAUACGCCACGCUGCAUUGCUUGUUGUGGGGGAGGAAGUACAUUUCUUGUCCUCAAUAAGUUUAAAGUCCACAUAAGACAUCACGAUUGGCAAAAGUAAAAGUUCAGAGAGCAAGCCAGACAUUAGACCUAAGAUGAUUUAACACACAUACUCAGUGCUGUCAAGAUGGUCUGGCAGGCAUUCCCAGGUCAGAGGGGCAGGCAGCACAUCUGAGCCCGGAGCGCGUUGAUGGGAUUUGCGGCUGGAUGAAGAUCAGCUCCAGGAGAGGCAGGAGGUGAGAGGAGGGUGUGCACCUGUGUGUGGUGAAGGGCUAGAUGAGAAGGGUUUAAUUUAACACGGUCUAAAGUGCCCAACUUCUGGUGGAAUCCAGGUAAGCCUUCCUUGCACUUGAUUUACAUUUGGGGAAAGGAAGCUGGUCACCUCCCGGUUGUAGCCACCAUCUAAACACGUUCAGAGUCCCUUAUUUUUACAUCAAGUAAUAUAAAGUGAUGGAGCUCUGGUGGCGCAGUGGUUAAGAGCUCAGGCUGCUAACCAAAAGAUCUGCACUUCAGAUCCUCCAGCCACUCAUUGGAAACCCUAUGGGGCAGUUCUGCUCUGUCCUGCAGGGUCACUAGGAGUCGAAAUUGACUCGGUGACAAUGGGUUACAGGUUAAUAUAAAAUGAUACGGCCUUUAAUAAUAACUGCUUAUAUUUAAAUGGUGCUUACCGUGUGCCAGGCGCUGUUUGAACAACUUUGGUAACUUCUUUAAUCCUCACAGCAGCCUUUUGAGGUAGCUGCUAUUAUUUCCUCCGUUUUACAGGUGAGGAAACAGAGGCACAGGGAGGUUAAAUGACUUACCAAAGGUCUUAAAACUAAUACGUGGCAGACCUGAGGGCCAGAUUCAGGCAGGCUGGCUCCAGAGUCUGCUCCUCCAGCACCACGUUCUGUGUCCUCUCUCCGGAAGCUGGAGACAGGACCCACACUCUUGUCAGAAACUUCCUGCCUAGAGGAGAAUGUGUUUCUAGAUAAGAAAAAUUACUGUAUGAAAAAAAAAAAUCA